ACUUUACAAUGCUGGCAACAGCGAUAAGGGAACCUCGAGUGCCAGGUUACAAAUCUGGCUGUCGAGAUGCCUAAAAAGCAUUUCAUAGCAAGGGCCGGGCAAGACCGGUGCCAGCCGCCGCGGUAACACCGGCGGCUCGAGUGGUAACCGUUAUUAUUGGGUCUAAAGGGUCUGUAGCCGGCCGGAUAAGUCUCUUGAGAAAUCUGGCAGCUUAACUGUCAGGCUUUCAGGAGAUACUGUCUGGCUCGAGGCCGGGAGAGGUGAGAGGUACUUCAGGGGUAGGGGUGAAAUCUUGUAAUCCUUGAAGGACCACCAGUGGCAAAGGCGUCUCACCAGAACGGACCUGACGGCAAGGGACGAAAGCUAGGGGCACGAACCGGAUUAGAUACCCGGGUAGUCCUAGCCGUAAACGAUACUCGCUAGGUGUCGGCCACGGUGCGACCGUUGUCGGUGCCGUAGGGAAGCCGUGAAGCGAGC
rnacentral:rRNA from 1 species